rnacentral:rRNA from 1 species
UACGUAGGGUGCGAGCGUUAAUCGGAAUUACUGGGCGUAAAGCGUGCGCAGGCGGUGAUGUAAGACAGACGUGAAAUCCCCGGGCUCAACCUGGGAACUGCAUUUGUGACUGCAUCGCUGGAGUGCGGCAGAGGGGGAUGGAAUUCCGCGUGUAGCAGUGAAAUGCGUAGAUAUGCGGAGGAACACCGAUGGCGAAGGCAAUCCCCUGGGCCUGCACUGACGCUCAUGCACGAAAGCGUGGGGAGCAAACAGG